GGCAGAUGUAUCCAUGAUGGCUCAGAAGUCUCAGCCCUGCUGAUGGAAAGUGUAUGAAAUGAAAACUAUGGGAACAUGGUUUCCCCUCAGGAGCAAGGGCAAGUCACUGCCCACUGGCACUCUGGGAGGACACAGAAAUACUGCCCAGGACUCAUCCCACAGUCUUGCUGAGGCACAUGCUCUUGCCGGAUGUGCUUCCACACAAAGCCCACUGAGUGAGUACAAGUUCCAAAAGUUAGAUCUGCAAAGGUCUGAGGAUCUUCAGCAUUUUGUCACUCCUGAGCAAGUGAGGAAAGAUGAAGGAAAGAAAUUAAGGAAAAGAAGAAAGCAAGCAAAAAACUUAGCAAAGAUGUCAUUGCAUAAUAGUCCAUUAUGCCUCCAAUUGAGCCGUCAUGAACUAUCAAAGAAAUAAUUGCACAAUAGACCAUAAUGGCUUAAUCGUGUCAACAUCUUUACAUUUACAUAUUUUUUUAAUCAAUGGAAAUUAAGUACAAAAAUGGGUCUUUUGGUUUCCAUCCUGAUUUUACCUUUGCGAUUGGGGGUGGGGUGAAGGACUGCGUUCCCUCUGCCACCUUCAGGGGAGGCUGGACGCCCUGCAAGUUUCCCGGAGGAUCUGAUGGUUUGUCUGUGGAUGCUGCAAGGGCAUUGGCAGGGCAACUAGCCAGGGCAAGAAGACACAACACGGUGCUCUGCUGGCCACUGUAACAGGAGCCAGAAGGGGCGAACUUUGGUGUCGCCUCAGGAUCUGGCAUGUACUUGACCUCUGACUUCUGCGGAAACACAGGUUCUCUCUUUCUCCGCCCAACUCCCCCGGUGCGUGCCUUUCUAGUCCUAGACACUUACCAUGCAUGACAAAGGCCCCAGAACCACAGUUCUUCUCUCCAAAGGGAGAAGUCACCCUUUAAGUAGCUUGACCCUUCAGCCAUUCACAGUGGCAGUGGCCCCACUUUGACUUUGUCACAGCUCUUUCUGCUUGGGGUUUGUCCAUGCAGUGUGGUAAAAAGAAUAUAGUGUCGGUUUAAAUUUUUUAAAAAUUGUAUUACAGAAAAAGACACAUUGUCCUUAAUCCCCCUCAAAGUACUUUCCUUCAUUUUGAACACACUUAGCCCAUCGUUUUUGCCACGUUCUGAAGCAGUUCUGGAAGUCCACUUUUGUGAAUGUCUUUAGUUGCACACUUGUGGCUGCCUCAAUGUCUUGAUUUAAUUCAAAAUAUUUACCUUUCAUGGCCAUUUUGAUUUGAGGGAAGAGCCAGAAGUCAGAUAGUGCCAGAUCAGGUGAAAAGGAUGAGGACACACCGUAAUGUUUGUAUAAGCCCGCCUGCCUUUCCUUUGGAUGGUGGAUGGCAGCAGCAUUCGUUGUAUUUUUGAUCACAUCCUAUAAAGACAUUCAUGGAAAAGGACUUUCAGAACUGCUCAGAAAAUUUCAAAAAAUGAUGGGAUGAUUUAUGUUUAAAGGGAAAGGGACCUUCUGAGGGGGAUUAGUGGCAAUGUAUCUUUUACUGUAACAAAUUUUUAAAGUUUAAACAUUCAUAUUUUUUGAUCACUCCUAUAGCUUGAUGACCUGGUGGAGUUAAACCAGUAGAACCAACAGGCCCUUCCCUUCUUCCUUUUCCUCCUGUCUGCAGCCCAUUCAGG
ensembl:lncRNA